GUCACCUGUUUAGUUUAGCCAGAACUAUUAACACAGCUUAAAGUCUCAUUGUUAGAUGAGAUGUUUAAUUUCGAGCAGUGCCCUGUGGCUUGAUGGCGCUUUCGGUAGGUCGGCAGAUGAAUACGCAGGACUCGCUGAUUUGUGUAAACUCAUCUGGAGAAAAUGGCCACUUGCCGUCACCUCCUCUCACCCUCCCACCGUCUGCGAAGUUAGGAAUCUGGAGACUACGGAGUUCCUUCUUUCAUCACCCAGCAUCAUCAACCAGGCUCAUUCAAAUGGCCAACUAUUCAUUCAUGAUGUUACAUGUUGGCUAACCUGAGGCCUGCCUCAUGUGCUCUCUGAUGAUGUCAUUAAUGGACCAUCCCUCUGUGUGUACAUAAGGAGAGUCACACUGCUCCUCCUGGUUUGGUUGGUUUGGUGAUGGAGACUGGACCAGUCUGUCCUGUUUGACAGGUCAGAACAAGCUGUUGCCAUGGUGACAGUGUCAUCAUGCUUUGUAAUGUUUAGAAUGUCCUUUGUAUUUCAGAGUGCUGGUGAACCGCUUACUGCUUACUUUAAAACACGCAGGAUGAGACAUGGUGUCAUUGAAGACACCAUGUGUGGUUCCUGCAGACCUGGACAAAUUACCUAUGCACUCCAUUUACCUGUACACUCCGAAAUGUGAUUGCCCUGUUAUAGUAUGUGUAAGAACAUGAUGGAAUAAAAGGCUUUGCUGGA